rnacentral:rRNA from 1 species
CCAGAAAUGGAAAAGUGCCGCAAGGAACUCGGUGACAGGUGCUGCAUGGUUGUCGUCAGCUCGUGCCUUGAGGUGUUCGGUUAAGUCCGUGAACGAGCGCAACCCUUGUCUUGUGUUGUAUGUUUCACAAGAGACUGCCGACUUUAAGUCGGAGGAAGGUAAGGAUGACGUCAAAUCAGCAUGGCCCUUAUGUCUGGGGCUACACACGUGCUACAAUGGCCAGUACAGAGGGCAGCAAACCCGCAAGGGGGAGCCAAUCCUUAAAACUGGUCCAAGUUCGAAUUGAGGGCUGCAAUUCGCCCUCAUGAAGUUGGAAUCGCUAGUAACCGCGUAUCAGCAAUGACGCGGUGAAUCUGUUCCUGGGUCUUGUACUCACCGCCCGUCACGUCAUGAAAGGUGGGGGCACCCGAAGUACCGUUAGCAUUUAAGCGCGGUCCUAAGGUGAAACCACUGAUUGGGACGAAGUCGUAACAAGGUAGCCGUAG